CAGUAGCCGCGGUAACACGGAGGGAGCUAGCGUUGUUCGGAAUUACUGGGCGUAAAGCGCGCGUAGGCGGUUACUCAAGUCAGAGGUGAAAGCCCGGGGCUCAACCCCGGAACUGCCUUUGAAACUAGGUGACUAGAAUCUUGGAGAGGUCAGUGGAAUUCCGAGUGUAGAGGUGAAAUUCGUAGAUAUUCGGAAGAACACCAGUGGCGAAGGCGACUGACUGGACAAGUAUUGACGCUGAGGUGCGAAAGCGUGGGGAGCAAACAGGAUUAGAUACCCCAGUAGUCCCUGUCUCUUAUAC
rnacentral:rRNA from 1 species